GUCAAGAUGGCUGAAUUGGUCUAAAGCGCCAGUUUUAGGUACUGGUUCGAAAUUCGGAUCACAUUUUUGACG
rfam:Glycine max cultivar Williams 82 chromosome 5, whole genome shotgun sequence.